rnacentral:rRNA from 1 species
AAAAAUAUUAAAAAUUAGGUAGUAAAGAUAUUUCCGAAACCUAAAGGACUUGGCGGUGUUUUAAAUAAUUGGAGGAACUUGUUAUUUAAUUGAAAUUCCCCAACAUAUCUCCCCCUAUUUUUGUUUGUAUAUCGUUGUUUUAAGAUAAUAUUUUUUAAUAUAAUCUAGAACAAAAUUAUUUUAAAAAUCAAAUCAAGGUGCAGCAUAAUAGGGUAAUAAUGAGUUACAAUGAAUAUUAUUCAAGAUGGAUAUAAAAUAGAAACAUAUAAGGAAGGUGGAUUCAAAAGUAACAAGAAAUUAAAAAGUUCUUGCGGAUAAAAAAUUAAAAUAUGC